rnacentral:ncRNA from 1 species
GACCCGAGAGAGACCGCCCCGUGCGGCGCCGAAGGGGAACGCGAAAACUCUCAGGCAAAAGGAUCGGA